rnacentral:lncRNA from 1 species
AGUUUCAAUAAGAAAUAAUGGGAGCAUGAACUUUGCAGAAAAGAUAAAAAUGGAAUGAAGACAGAACUCUAAUUUAAGAAAGAAGUGAUUAUGCUGUUGAAAUCGUGAAGAUUUUACAGACUGCCUCCCAGAUUCACUGCCAGCAUCAGCAUGCUUGACUAGGAGAGUCAGGAGGGCCCUGCCAAGUCUGAUGCACUAUCUCUACCAUGACACCCUGAGGAGGAACUUGGAUUUCAAAUUAGUGAGCAGUCGGUACAAUGUAUUUCACUAUGCCAUGUUCAACAGAAAGGAAUACGAGCUUGAAAUACAUUCACAGAGUCUGUCAUCUUUUCCUAUCUCUCCAACAAAGAGAAGAGCUUUCUUUCUAGUUUGGACUGCCAAUGUCUUCCCUUCCACCUCGGGACUCAUUCUCUUGCAAUUUGGCACUGCCAACCCAGGAAAAGAGCUGAAGCAAUGCAUAUGGCUUCACAGCUGGAGACCACACUCCUCAGCCUCCUUACAACCAACCUGUCUUGUUUGAAUCCAUUCUCUUCAAGGGAAUGAGAACAAAAUUUACGUGUGCAGCUUCCAGCCCAUCAUCCAGUUCCCUGUCUUCUGCUAGCAGUACCCUGAUUUUGCUCUGUGGAAUCAUCCUCUUCCUGACUUUCAGCUCAUGUGCUUCUGGUAAUGAAUGGUGGCGCUUGGAUGUGGCUCCCAGCUUUCUGAAAGGAUACUCCAAAAAGAAUGUUCUAACCUCCAAAGUUGGUUUCCAUAAGGAAUUUAAAGAUUGUCCUGGGAUGAUGGACCCCACAGAAGUUAUAACAAGAAGAGGACAAGAGUGACCAUUAAGUAUGAACUUCUUUAGGAGAAUAUAACAGGUUUGGAAGAUCAAGGAAUGAAGUGGACUGGCUCUGGAACUAUCCUAAAGAGAAAUGUCAUGCCACGAGAUCCCAGGGUGUAUUCCAUGUCCUCAAUGCCGGAUAGAACAAAAAGGCACCAACGGUCGUGUUACUGCUUGUGGUGGCUCCCCUUAAAAACUCCAGGUGCUGGGAGAAUCAAACAGUUUAAUAUAUGUAAAAUGCUUAGAAACAUGCUGCCUGCCUGGAGGGAUUUAAAGCUGUUCAUCUAAGCACUCUUUUGCUGUCACCAAUGGCAUCUUUGGCACAUAUAUGCAAGACACUGUGUACCACUUGUUGCCCAGGUUGGUCUCAAAUCUUGAUUCCUGCUCUCAAGGGAUCCUUCCACUUCAGCUUCCCAAAUCACGGGAAUUACAGGUGCCACCAACUGUGCCCAGUCACAUGAAUUCUUGAUACCUUUCUUACUUAUUUCUACAUUCCCUAACUUACCCAUAAAAUUAAACCCAUUGAUAUGGCUUGGUUCUGUGUCCCCAUUUAAAUCUCAUCUCAAACUGUAAUACCCACAUGUCAAGGGAGAGGCCUGGUGGGAGGUGAUUGGAUCAUGGGGGUGGUUACUGCUGUGUCGUUCUCAUGACAGUGAGUGAGUUGUCACAAGAUCUGGUGGUUUUAUAAGGGGCUCUUUCCCCCUUCACUCUCUCUCUCCGCAUGUAAGAAGUGCCUGCUUUCCCUUCCACCAUGAUUGUGGGUUCCCUGA